rnacentral:rRNA from 1 species
AGCGAACGCUGGCGGCAGGCCUAACACAUGCAAGUCGAGCGGCCGUAGCAAUACGGCAGCGGCAGACGGGAGAGUAACACGUGGGAACGUGCCCUUUGGUUCGGAAUAACGCAGGGAAACUUGCGCUAAUACCGGAUAAGCCCUUACGGGGAAAGAUUUAUCGCCAAUGGAGCGGCCCGCGUCUGAUUAGCUAGUUGGUGAGGUAACGGCUCACCAAGGCUACGAUCAGUAGCUGAUCUGAGAGGAUGAUCAGCCUCACUGGGACUGAGAC